CCUACGGGAGGCAGCAGUGGGGAAUAUUGCGCAAUGGGCGAAAGCCUGACGCAGCGACGCCGCGUGAGGGAUGAAGGUCUUCGGAUCGUAAACCUCUGUCAGCAGGGAAGAACGGUCACUGUGCUAAUCAGCAGUGAAUUGACGGUACCUGCAAAGGAAGCACCGGCUAACUCCGUGCCAGCAGCCGCGGUAAUACGGAGGGUGCGAGCGUUAAUCGGAAUUACUGGGCGUAAAGCGCUCGUAGGCGGUAUGUCAAGUCAAGGGUGAAAUCCCCGCGCUCAACGUGGGAACUGCCUUUGAAACUGGCAAACUGGAGUGUGUGAGAGGAUAGUGGAAUUCCAGGUGUAGGAGUGAAAGCCGUAGAUAUCUGGAGGAACAUCAGUGGCGAAGGCGACUAUCUGGCACAUAACUGACGCUGAUGAGCGAAAGCGUGGGUAGCAAACAGGAUUAGAUACCCUAGUAGUC
rnacentral:rRNA from 1 species